UACGAAGGGGGCUAGCGUUGUUCGGAAUUACUGGGCGUAAAGCGUGCGCAGGCGGUCUCUUAAGACAGGUGUGAAAUCCCCGGGCUUAACCUGGGAACUGCGCUUGUAACUGAGAGGCUUGAGUGUGCCAGAGGGGGGUGGAAUGCCGCGUGUAGCAGUGAAAUGCGUAGAGAUGCGGCGGAACACCGAUGGCGAAGGCAGCCCCCUGGGCUGAGAUUGACGCUCAGGCACGAAAGCGUGGGGAGCAAACAGG
rnacentral:rRNA from 1 species